GUUCGGCAGCUCCACCAGGCAGGACUUUGGCAACGUAGGCCCCAAUGUCUCCAUUAGAGCCGGGCACCUCUUUCCCUCCGACCACACGGAUACCCAGACCAUUUCCUGGUUAGGACCAACAACAAACACUGGUUUGUCAAACCAGUCGGUCUCCUCUCGUCUAAGGUGGUAGGCUUCGGGGAUAAAAACAAGCAGCACCAAUCAGAACCAAUCUGAGAACCUGGACCUUUUUUUGAACCUACCACAUGAAUUGAUUUCUUCAGUUGAGGACUGAAUAAACAAAAUGACCUUGAAGGACA